UUAACCGUGUCGUCCAUUGGCUGUAAAACACGGUCCUGAGCCGAGUCAUUGUCAUAUAUUUAUUCGCUCUUAAAGUUGAAACUAAGUAAAGGAGCGUCAAACUGAGCUCAUCCAGCCUUUCUGAGCAGCACAGCACAGGCUCUUCCAACACUGGUGAUCCAGGUGAUCGAUAUUUGUAUUUUUUGUCUGCUUAUUUUGUUGGUUUUUGUUUUUUGCCCUUUUUCCCUGUCCCUCUUCUCCGCAGUUUUUUUUUUUCCCCCCCUCUUUCUUUCUCCCUUUUCUUUUCCCCUGUCCCGUAUCUAGCAAGUAAAAAAAAAUAAAAUAAAAUAAAAUAAACAAUAAAAGGUAAAUCAAAUGGACCAUUACGGCAAGGCUGGGAUGGUCCAUUUGGUAAAGUAAAUCCGUUGGGCAUCUUUCUUCGCCUUUAGACAAUAAUUCUGAUGGCAAAAGAACCAAAAGGGACAGGUUUAAAAAAAAAAAAAAAAAAAGGACAUUUGGCACACAGCCGGGAGGCAGCCUGGGAUUGAACCACUGACCUUCUGAUUAGUGGCUGACCUGCUCUGCCACCUGAGCUACAGGUGGCAGAUAUAUAACU